GCGGGCGUAGCUCAGCGGUAGAGCAUCCGGCUUUUACCCGGUUGGUCCAUGGUUCGAAUCCAUGUGCCCGCACCA
rnacentral:tRNA from 1 species